AGGUUAAGUGAAUAAGGGCGCACGGUGGAUGCCUUGGCACUAGGAGCCGAUGAAGGACGGGACUAACACCGAUAUGCUUUGGGGAGCUGUAAGUAAGCUAUGAUCCAGAGAUUUCCGAAUGGGGAAACCCAGCAUCUUUUAUAGGAUGUUACGUCUGUGUGAAUACAUAGCACAGUCGAGGUAGACGCAGAGAACUGAAACAUCUAAGUACCUGCAGGAAGAGAAAGAAAAUUCGAUUCCCUGAGUAGCGGCGAGCGAAACGGGAAAAGCCCAAACCAACAAGCUUGCUUGUUGGGGUUGUAGGACUCCGAUAUGGUAGUCCAUUCAGAUAGUCGAAAUACUUGGAAAAGUAUGUCAAAGAGGGUAAAAACCCCGUAGACGAAAUUUGGAUGACACCUAGGAGGAUCCUGAGUACGGCGGAACACGAGGAAUUCCGUCGGAAUCCGGGAGGACCAUCUCCCAAGGCUAAAUACUCCCUAGUGACCGAUAGUGAACCAGUACCGUGAGGGAAAGGUGAAAAGCACCCCGGAAGGGGAGUGAAAUAGAUCCUGAAACCGUGUGCCUACAACAAGUUAAAGCCCGUUAAUGGGUGAUAGCGUGCCUUUUGUAGAAUGAACCGGCGAGUUACGAUAGCAUGCGAGGUUAAGUUGAAGAGACGGAGCCGCAGCGAAAGCGAGUCUGAAUAGGGCGAUUGAGUAUGUUGUCGUAGACCCGAAACCAUGUGAUCUACCCAUGUCCAGGUUGAAGGUGCGGUAAAACGCACUGGAGGACCGAACCCACGUACGUUGAAAAGUGCGGGGAUGAGGUGUGGGUAGCGGAGAAAUUCCAAACGAACUUGGAGAUAGCUGGUUCUCUCCGAAAUAGCUUUAGGGCUAGCCUCGGAAUUGAGAAUGAUGGAGGUAGAGCACUGUUUGGACUAGGGGCCCAUCUCGGGUUACCGAAUUCAGAUAAACUCCGAAUGCCAUACAUUCAUAUCCGGGAGUCAGACUGUGAGUGAUAAGAUCCAUAGUCGAAAGGGAAACAGCCCAGACCACCAGCUAAGGUCCCAAAAUAUAUGUUAAGUGGAAAAGGAUGUGGGGUUGCACAGACAACUAGGAUGUUGGCUCAGAAGCAGCCACCAUUUAAAGAGUGCGUAAUAGCUCACUAGUCGAGUGACCCUGCGCCGAAAAUGUACCGGGGCUAAACAUAUUACCGAAGCUGUGGAGUGCACCAUAAGGUGCAUUGGUAGGAGAGCGUUCUAAGGGCGUCGAAGGUAGACCGUGAGGACUGCUGGAGCGCUUAGAAGUGAGAAUGCCGGUAUGAGUAGCGAAAGACAGGUGAGAAUCCUGUCCACCGAAUGACUAAGGUUUCCUGGGGAAGGCUCGUCCGCCCAGGGUUAGUCGGGACCUAAGCCGAGGCCGAAAGGCGUAGGCGAUGGACAACAGGUUGAUAUUCCUGUACCCGUUGUUUUUGUUUGAGCAAUGG
rnacentral:rRNA from 1 species